AGAAAACGUGUCUCACGAAACUGC
rnacentral:siRNA from 1 species